rnacentral:sRNA from 1 species
UUUUUUUUUCUAAUGCCCUUUUCAUACUACCCCUUUUCAAUUCUACCCUUUUCUAUUUACCAUUUUCAUUUAUAUCCUAUUUCAAUUUUUAAUGACCAUUUUACCCCUAUUUGUAAAUUGAUUUAGGUUAACAAAAUGAAAUAUUAAUAUUUUUCGCCUAAAAUAUUCCAAAAUAAAAUUUCUCGCCAAAAUUUUCCUGCCAAAAAUUUUCGAAAAAAGUUUCCCGCCAAAAAAUUUCGGAAAAAUUUUCUCGCCAAAAAAUUUCGAAAAAAAAUUUCCCGCCAAAAAAAAUUUCGAAAACAAUUUUCCCGUAUUUUUUUUUUUUUGGCGGGAAAUAGGUUUACAAGGAAUUUUAAAAGGGUUUUAAAAUAUUUUAAAAGAUUUACAAGAGAUUUUAAAAGGGAUUAAAAGAUUUACAAGAGAUUUUAAAAGGUUUUUAAAAUAUUUACAAGGAAUUUUAAAGGGCUUUAAAAGACUUACAAGAGUUUUUAAAAUUUUUUUAAAGGGUUUAAAAGUGUUUUAAAAGAUUUACAAGAGAUUUUUAAAGGGUUUUAAAAUAUGUACAAGAGUUUUUAAAAGAUUUUAAAAGAAAUUAUAAGAAAACCCUUUAAAAACUCUUGUAAAUCUUUUUAAAACCUUUUGUAAAGGUUCACAAGAGUUUUAAAAUAGUUCAAAAAGAGUUGUAAAUGUUUUAAAUACUUACAAUUCUUUUUCUAAGAGUUAAACAAUGCUUGUAAAGACUUUAUAAGAGUUUUAAAAAGAUUUACAAAUGUUUAAAAUCCUUGUAAUUUUUUUUAAAACUCUUUAAAAACUCUUGUAAAUCAUGUUUUACCCUUUUAUAAGCUUUUAAAAUCCUUAUAAAUCAUUGUAUACUACUUAUUUAUCUUUUAAAAACGAUUGUAAACUAUGCAAACCUUUUUAAAAAUCCCUUGUAAAUCAUUCGUUAACACUUACUUAUGCUUUAAAAACGAUUAUAAAUCAUGUUAACCCCUUUUUAAAUCUCUUGUAAAUCAUUUAAUGUCACUUACUUAUGCUAUAAAACGAUUGUAAACCAUACAAACACUUUUAAAAUCUCUUGUAAAUCAUUCUAUGCCACUUACUUAUGCUUUUAAAACGAUUGUAAAUCAUGUUUUACCCUUUUAUAAGCUUUUAAAAUCUCUUGUAAAUCAUUCCAAUACCACUUACUUAUACUUAAAAAAACAUUGUAAACCAUGCUAACCCUUUUUAAAAAUCCUUGUAAAUCAUUCUAUGCCACUUACUUAUGCUUUAAAAACGAUUGUAAAUCAUGUUUUACCCUUUUAUAAGUUUUUAAAAUCCCUUAUAAAUCAUUUAAUGCUAUUUACUUAUGCUAAAAAACGAUUGUAAACCAUGCUAACCCUUUUUAAAUCCCUUGUAAAUCAUUCUAUGCCACUUACUUAUGCUUUAAAACGAUUGUAAAUCAUGUUUUACCCUUUUAUAAGUUUUUAAAAUCCCUUGUAAAUCAUUCAAUGCCACUUAUUUAUGUUUAAAAAACGAUUGUAAAUCUUGUAAAACUAUUGUAAAAAGUUUUAAAAUGAUUUACAAAGGUUUAAAAAGGGGGUUUUAAAGUAUUUAUCUAUGUUUUUAAAGAUUUUAUAAAGAUUUUAAGAGGUUUUAAAAUGAUUUACAAGAGUUUUUAGCAACUACCAAAGCUUUUAAAAAACUUUACAAGGUUUUCUAAAAAAUUUACAAGGAUUUUUAAAAGCAUUUUUUUGGCUGGGAAAAAAAAUUUACGAGAAAAAAUUUUGGCGGGAAUUUUUUUUUUGGCGGGAAAAAUAAAUUUGGCGGAAAACUUGAAGUUUCCAGUUACAUGUUCUUAUUAGAUGAGGGUAAUUUGGUCAUUUUGUUCAAAAGAAAGGAUAUUUUCAAAAAUGAACAAUAUAAAAAAGUAUUAUUGCAAAAAGGUAGUAAAAAAAUGAUACUUUUGCAAAUCUCUCUAGAAAAUAAGUUAAAUAUAGGGAGAUUGAUUUGUUUUGCACUUACGAGUAUAAAAUACUACUACUAAGGAAUGUUCUGUGCACGUUUCUUUGUCGUACUGUUGUCUCCCAAUUCUUAUCUAGUUUUCAGCUACAAAAUAAUAAUUUCUCAAAUAUCUCGCACCCAAUCAU